rnacentral:rRNA from 1 species
GCUCGGCGUAAAGAGUGGUUAAAUUUAUUAUAAACUAAAGCCGAACCUCCUCAGAACUGUUAUACGUACCCGAGAUUAGGAAGCCCUUAGACGAAAGUAGCUUUAACAUUUUUGACCCCACGGAAGCCGGGGAACAAACUGGGAUUAGAUACCCCACUAUGCCCAGCCGUAAACAUUGGUAGCACAAGUACAAGUGCUAUUCGCCUGGGUACUACGAGCACUAGCUUAAAACCCAAAGGACUUGGCGGUGCUUAAGACCCCCCUAGAGGAGCCUGUUCUAGAACCGAUAACCCCCGUUAAACCUCACCCUUCCUUGUUAGUCCCGCCUAUAUACCGCCGUCGUCAGCUUACCCUGUGAGGGAUCUAUAGUGAGCAAGAUCAGCA